rnacentral:rRNA from 1 species
GACCUGCGGAAGGAUCAUUAUCGAAACGUCGACACGAGCUGUUGCUGGCCCCCCCCUCUAGCGGGGGGACGCACGUGCACGCUCUGUCUACACAUCCGCUCACAUCUGUGCACCCUCCGUAGUUCUAUGGUCUAGAGGAGAGACUCCGUCCUCCUUCCGUAGUUCUGCGUCACCACACCCACUCUGUAACAAAGUCUUAUGGAACGUUUGAUGGCAAUGCAAUACAACUUUCAGCAACGGAUCUCUUGGCUCUCGCAUCGAUGAAGAACGCAGCGAAAUGCGAUAAGUAAUGUGAAUUGCAGAAUUCAGUGAAUCAUCGAAUCUUUGAACGCACCUUGCGCCCCUUGGCCAUUCCGAGGGGCAUGCCUGUUUGAGUAUCAUGAACACUUCAACUCUCACGGUCCGCCGUGAUGAGCUUGGACUUUGGGGGUUUUGCCGGCCUUUGCGGUCGGCUCCUCUCAAAUGGAUCAGCUUGCCAGCGUUUGGGGGCAUCGUAGGUGUGAUAACUAUCUACGCCUGCGGUCGCCUGCCAUGUAACCUUUGGCAACGGAGGUUCGCUGGGGCUUAUGAAAGCCCGAGGACGGCAUUUUGAACGUUCGAUCUCAAAUCAGGUAGGACUACCCGCUGAACUUAAGCAUAUCAAUAAGCGGAGGAAA